CAGUUCUGCUUCUCUCCACAUAACUCCACACACACAGACACAGGCAGGGAGAGCCUGCCUCAGCCUACAAAGGAAACUGCACAUUCAUCCACAUCCAGGCUGCGGCUGCCGGCAGCGGGGUGACCCGGGGGUGCAAAGAGGGGGGGUAUUCCCAAAUCCCAUCGCCCCGUUGCCCCCUCCUUUCAUCCCAUCUCCCAGCCCCGCCUGGCAGGAGCAGAGGGAUCCUGCUCACAACUUUCCCCAACUGCCAGGCAGAAGAAUCCCAGCCUUUUCCAAGGGAGUGUCGGUAAAUCAUCAUUACAUCCGACAACGCAACCAACAGCGGUUAACCCUUUGCUGCUCGCCGGGAGGAAAAACAACAACAACAACAGAUUUAACAAUGGAAAUAGUAAAAGCUGGUCCCAGCUGUGCGAGAAAGGGGUGCGUGAGCGGUGGUUUUGUACAUACACACGUAUUAUAUGGAUGGGAAGAAGCAAUUGUGCGCCCGUGGGUGCAGCGGACACGCGGGGAACGUGCCACCAGCACCCUCUUCCUCACCCGCGGCUCUCCCGCUUCCCGGAGGAUGAUCCCAGUGCAGAUGUGCCUCCCCCCCCCCCCCCCCCCAAAGGAUCUCUCCUCUGGACUUAGAGAGAAGAGGAAAAGGCAGAUUUGGAGAAAUGAAAAUGAUUUAAGGAUGUCUCCGCAGCCUCUCUCUGCUGCCCUCCUCUGUAACACUGAAGCACUUACAAAGAAAAUAGUAAUACAAAGUAAAUAAAUAAUUAAUAAAGAAGAAACUCUUUUUGGCCAGAAGAGCUGCUGAGAAGCGAUGAAGACCCUCCCAGGCUCCAUGGAGGAAGGCACAGGCCCCUGCUCUGAGGAGGAUGCUGGUGGAGGGGGCUGCUCCUCUCCUCUCACUGCUUGGGGCUGUGAGCCCGCUGCCUUCCACCUAAACCACCAUGGGCUGGCAGAGGACCCUGUUACCAGGUGUCUGCCUUGGCUUUUCCCUUGGACUGGUUGGAAGCAUAUGGAAUGUGGGCUUAGGCUAGCAGGAGAAAAGCCCCCCAUAUCCCUGCUCCCAUCCUCACCCUGGUCCCACAGGGAAGGGGUUUAAGUGGUGGCAUCACCCUCCCUCCUCCUAGCACCAAAUUAUGGAAGCAGCAGCCGGGAGUACAGGGAGAGGGGAAUGAGUUUUCUUGUACAAGGUCCAUAAGUAUAAAUCAGAUCCCAAGUCCACUUUAGCCAGCUCUGCCAGCAGAGGGGACUUUUGCACAUGAAUUAAACCUUCAUCCCUGUGCUCCCUCCUCUUCCAGCUCUGGCAAAGUCCAUCCAAGCAGGAACCCUGCCACUGUGCGCACCCUGAGGUGACCAACAGGUCCCUCUUUUCCACACCAGGACACAGCAAACUCCUCAGCUCUGUGGGGUACCCUCAGGGCAACCCAUCACACUGAGCCCUCCCAACUCCUCCCUGCACCUCUGGGUGCCCCCUUGGCCCUGUUCCCUUUCCCCUUGCACAGCAUCCCUGCCUUGGGCACUUACUUUGCAGCGAGGCGAGAGGCUGGGCAGCAUCCCCUCGCAGCCCCAUGUUCAUUGGCAUUCAUUUGUCCCAGCAGCUUACAACAAUUUCUAUUUCUUAAAAUAAUAAUAAUUAAAAAGGACAAAAAGGAGGCAAAAAGCCAAAACGACCACUCAAACCCCUUUCUCCCUCCUGUCCCAGGGUGUCUCCUGUGCUGGGGUUCACGGCCCCCCCGCUUUCUGGCAAGGCUGAGGUCCCCCCAAAUUCAACAGAUAAUCCUUCCCCAGGGCUGGCUCGGGCAGGUACCCCUCGGGCCGUCGCUCCACUCGUGGGUCAUGGAUACUGCAGGGAUCCAGGAGUGAAGAGACGCUGCGGCCGGGCGCUGGGAGGGACAUGGAUGUGAAAGAGGUGGGAAUUCUAAGGCUGCCCUUGUCCUUUUAAAUAGCUGCAGGCAGGGACUUGGCUCCCUGGCGGGGGUGCCCCAGGUAUCCGGUUUCAGCAAACAGCAGCUAAUGAGCAGAGAUCCAGCCUCCGAGGGGCAGGUUCCGCGGCUCUGCGGGGCAGGGGCACCCCCGGGUACCGCAUCGGG
rnacentral:lncRNA from 1 species